AUUGAACGCUGGCGGCAGGCCUAACAGAUGCAAGUCGAGAGGAGGGGCAGACGGGUGAGGCAUGCCUAGGACUCUGCCUGGUAGUGGGGGAUAACGUCCGGCAACGGGCGCUAAUACCGCAUACUAUCAGAUGAGCCUAGGUCGGAUUGGCUCGUUGGUGGGGUAAAGGCCUACAAAGGCGACGGUCCGUAACUGGUCUGAGAGGAGGAUCAGGCAUACUGGAACUGAGACACGGUACAGACUCCUCCGGGCGGCAGCAGUGGGUAAUAUUGGACAAUGGGCGAAAGCCUGAUCCAGCCAUGCCGCGUGUGUGAAGAAGGUCUUCGGAUUGUAAAGCACUUUAAGUUGGGAGGCGUUACCAACAGAAUAAGCACCGGCUAACUUCGUGCCAGCAGCCGCGGUAAUAC
rnacentral:rRNA from 1 species